UGCUCUUGAACUCGCCUGACACUCCUAAGCUUUUCUCCAUGUCGCUCUCUGCCAAGAAGAGGACCUUGGCCAGGCAGAAGAGGGCCUGACACCAGCACAGCCUGGGGUUGAAACAGAUGAGCUUGUAUUUCCCUGGGCCAGAUGCUCCUUCAACAAGCAGCAAGUCAUAAGCCUCUGCUGUCUCGGGAUGUUGAAGGUUCUCACUGCUGUUUCAAGACUGGAACCAUCACACCAAGUUUUCAGAAAGAGAGGAGCCAGAAGAAUUUGGAGAUUGCUCCUUUUAGAAUUCUGACCACCCAGGACACAAGAAGGACAUGAGAAGACUUGCCUUUGCCUCUCCAUCAUCCUCAGGCCAACACUGCUAUACCAUCUGGGACAAGGCAGUGCCUCUCUUGGAACAUCAGUCUCCUUUUGGAAGAGAUGAAGCUCUGGGCACAAUUUCCAUCUAAAUUCUUUGAUUCCCACUCUGGUUUGGAGGGAGAUUGUAAUCUAAAAGUGAAAU
rnacentral:lncRNA from 1 species